AGACGGCGGCGAUCGUGACGACUCGUAUCGAGGAGUGGGGGGAGACGAGGACAAAUGACGCGCGCGAGCCGUCAGGGCCGUACACGACGGGGCACGCGACACGCGUUCCACGGAGUCGCGCGAUCUUACGGCGCCGACACAGCUGUUGCGCUUAUGCAACGAUGUUAUCGGAAAGAAGAAGGCGUUCGUUAAAUAGAGAUAGA
rnacentral:lncRNA from 1 species